rnacentral:rRNA from 1 species
AUUGAACGCUGGCGGCAUGCCUUACACAUGCAAGUCGAACGGCAGCACGGGGGCAACCCUGGUGGCGAGUGGCGAACGGGUGAGUAAUACAUCGGAACGUGUCCUGUAGUGGGGGAUAGCCCGGCGAAAGCCGGAUUAAUACCGCAUACGAUCUACGGAAGAAAGCGGGGGAUCUUCGGACCUCGCGCUAUAGGGGCGGCCGAUGGCAGAUUAGCUAGUUGGUGGGGUAAAGGCCUACCAAGGCGACGAUCUGUAGCUGGUCUGAGAGGACGACCAGCCACACUGGGACUGAGACACGGCCCAGACUCCUACGGGUGGCAG